rnacentral:rRNA from 4 species
AAAUUGAAGAGUUUGAUCAUGGCUCAGAUUGAACGCUGGCGGCAGGCCUAACACAUGCAAGUCGAACGGUAACAGGAAGCAGCUUGCUGCUUUGCUGACGAGUGGCGGACGGGUGAGUAAUGUCUGGGAAACUGCCUGAUGGAGGGGGAUAACUACUGGAAACGGUGGCUAAUACCGCAUAACGUCGCAAGACCAAAGAGGGGGACCUUCGGGCCUCUUGCCAUCAGAUGUGCCCAGAUGGGAUUAGCUUGUUGGUGAGGUAACGGCUCACCAAGGCGACGAUCCCUAGCUGGUCUGAGAGGAUGAC